rnacentral:lncRNA from 1 species
UGGGGAAGGAGAGCACCUGAGGGAGAUCGGAGGGGUUUCUCAGGUUACAGUUGGGUUUUUUCUCAACAUAUGGGAUUUUGGGCGAGUUGUGGCGGUGUGAGUGGGUCUCUGAUUGAGACUUCUAAGAGAAAAAACAAAGGAAAAAGUGAAAGGUAUGACCUAUUCUAUUGAUUUUUUCUUUUUCAUUUCAUUUUUUUCUUUGGAGAUCUACAGGG